GACGAACGCUGGCGGCGUGCUUAACACAUGCCAGUCGAACGGUGAAGCGCCUUCCUUUUUGGUGGGUGUGGAUGAGUGGCGAACGGGUGAGUAACACGUGAGUAACCUGCCCCCUUCUUCUGGAUAACCGCAUGAAAGUGUGGCUAAUACGGGAUAUUCUGGGUCUGUCGCAUGAUGGGUCUGGGAAAGAUAUUGUUUCGGUGGGGGAUGGGCUCGCGGCCUAUCAGCUUGUUGGUGGGGUGAUGGCCUACCAAGGCGGUGACGGGUAGCCGGCCUGAGAGGGUGGACGGUCACACUGGGACUGAGACACGGCCCAGACUCCUACGGGAGGCAGCAGUGGGGAAUAUUGCACAAUGGGCGCAAGCCUGAUGCAGCGACGCCGCGUGAGGGAUGGAGGCCUUCGGGUUGCGAACCUCUUUCGCCAGUGAAGCAGGCCUGCCUCGUUUGUGGGUGGGUUGACGGUAGCUGGAUAAGAAGCGCCGGCUAACUACGUG
rnacentral:rRNA from 1 species